CCUCAUCACAUUAAAACACCGGUUCUCAUAGGAUCACCAAAGUUAAGCAACGUCGAGCCGGGUCAGUACUGAGAGAGGUGACUGCUUGGGAAUACCAGAUGCUGUAAG